ACAUAUAAACUAACAGUGGGAGAUUCAGUGUGUGUAUAGAUUGUAAU
rnacentral:guide_RNA from 1 species